UUUCUGCCUGCUAAUCAAAAG
rnacentral:piRNA from 1 species